AUAUCCAAGCAUUUUCAUAUUGUCACAAAAAAGAUUUGAAGAUUUGAACUGACGAGCAAAGGAAGACGAUAAGAUCAUGGCGUCUAAAAUCAACGCCAUAAACCAGUUCGCUUUUUCAAGAGACUUCGUACUGAUUUUCCUAUAGAGGUGCUUGGAAUGCUCAAAAACACGUUGCACAGCAUCAAAACGUUUAUUUUUGCUUAAAACAGAUAUUAACGUAGGAUAAACUUCAGGAUGCAAAAAUUUAUUGGUUUCAAUAAGCUUACCGAACUGGAAAAACAAUAUAUUAACGUCCACCUGCUCAGGUGAUGCACUUGUUAACAUUUUGGAAACAAGUGAAUUUAUACUUUGAUCGAUGCAUUCCAGGUCGUCAAGGCAAUAACAAACUUGCGAUAUAUCCGCUAAAAUUUUCUGUCCAUUGUUAUCAGUAGAGAAUCCGACGACUGCUUCAGAGACGAUGUCAU